GGUCUAAGCAUGAUCUGUUUCUGUUGUUCUGAUGAAGGAAGCUUGUGUUGGGGAGGAUUCAGUGUCUGUUGAGGCACAUGUGAAUGUGCUACAAAGUGAGUAUCAGAAAACACAUCAAGACCCCUCGACAGUCAAAGACCACACGGCAGGAACAUACUCCUGGAGACGCUGAGAAAGCACGGAAGGAAUAUCUGAGGAGGAUGUACUCAAAAAAUACACAUACUUAAAGAGACCUGCUGGAGUGAGUAUAUUAAAGAAAAAAACUCAUCAACUGUAAAAUAUCUUGUUUCAAAUAUUUUCAGAUAAUAUUUUAUUCUUCUGUACCUUUUUAGCCCAUCUGUUAAAAAUGUAAAGCAAUAGUUUUAGAAAACAAUGUAAGAUUUAUCAGUGUAUACAAGAACAUGAAAUGCAUCGUAUUGUGAACCUUAUACAUUACCUUCUGAUUGUUUCUGCAGUUCUGCAGUGUAUGUAGCUACACCGUCUGAGCCAAAGAGGAUGCAACAGAAUCUGAUGAAUCUGAAAAGUGUUUUCUUUUUUUCUUGUUAUUAUUAUUAUUGUUGUUAUUAUUCUUUUUAUUUAUUUAUUUUAUGAAAGGGGGACCUGGCUACACCUUUCCUAGCAUACACCUGAUGGAUACUGACUGUAAAAUGUCAAUCAUAGGAGGAGGGCUCAGUGUGGUGACAGAAGAUGGAACAGAUGUGUGUCAUGCUACCGACUUUCCUUCAGAGGCACAUUGUCAACAUUAGAAGAUGGAGACAAACACUGUAUGGUUGACUGGAAGUCUGUCAGUCCAGAUGUGAGGAAGACACACAGAGUGGAGCUGGAGCUCAGCAGAUGUGAGAUGGAUGUAGAUACUGUGGUCUUGGAAAGAAGAGCAUCUUCAAAGCUUUCUAUUCAGACAAAGAGUUUGCUGGAUUCUGUUCUAUGGACUGCUACUACAGAAUGAAUUAAUGAAUGAGUGGUUUAUCUAUCUAUCUAUCUAUCUAUCUAUCUAUCUAUCUAUCUAUCUAUCUAUCUAUCUAUCUAUCUAUCUAUCUAUCUAUCUAUCUAUCUAUCUAUCUAUCUAUCUUUUUACUUGAAUUGGUGACUGAAACUGAAAGCUAAAUAAAUGUUUUAGUGGAUAAAGCUGUGUCUGUUUGCUUAAUUGGUUAAUGUCACUUAAAACAAGGUUACUAAACUCU